rnacentral:rRNA from 1 species
GGUUUGAUCAUGGCUCAGAUUGAACGCUGGCGGGAUGCUUUACACAUGCAAGUCGAACGGCAGCACGGACUUCGGUCUGGUGGCGAGUGGCGAACGGGUGAGUAAUGUAUCGGAACGUGCCUAGUAGCGGGGGAUAACUACGCGAAAGCGUAGCUAAUACCACAUACGCCCUUCGAGGAAAGCGGGGACCUUCGGGCCUCGCACUAUUAGAGCGGCCGAUAUCGGAUUAGCUAGUUGGUGGGGUAACGGCUCACCAAGGCGACGAUCCGUAGCGCUGGUUUGAAGGACGACCAGCCACACUGGGACUGAGACCUGGCCCAGACUCCUACGGGAGAGCAGCAGUGGGGAAUUUUGGACAAUGGGGGAAACCUGAUCCAGCUUCAUCCCGCGUGUGCGAUGGCCUUCGGGUUGUAAAGCACUUUUGGCAGAAGAAAUGGCUUUACGGGAUAAUACCCCGUGCAACUGACGGUACCUGCAGAAUAAGCACCGGCUAACACCCGUGCCAGCAGCCCGCGGUAAUACGUAGGGUGCAAAAAGCCCAAUCGGAAUUACUGGGCGUAAAGCGUGCGCAGGCGGUUCGGAAGAAGAUGUGAAAUCCCAGAGCUUAACUUUGGAACUGCAUUUUUAACUACCGAGCUAGAGUGUGUCAGGGGAGGUGGAAUUCCGCGUGUAGCAGUGAAAUGCGCGUAGAUAUGCCGGGGGAACACCGAUGGCGAAGGCAGCCUCCUGGGAUAACACUGACGCUCAUGCACAGCGUGCAGAGGCAAACAGGACUAGAUACCCUGGUAGUCCACGCCUAAACGAUGUCAACUAGCUGUUGGGGCCUUCGGGCCUUAUUGGCGCAGCUAACGCGUGAGAUUGACCGCCUGGGGGAAGCACGGUCGCAAGAUUAAAACUCCGAAUUGACGGGGACCGCACAAGCGGUGGAUGAUGUGGAUUAAUUCGAUGCAACGCGAAAAACCUUACCUACCCUUGACAUGUCUGGAAUCCCGAAGAGAUUUGGGAGUGCUCGCAAAGAGAGCAGGAACACAGGUGCUGCAUGGCUGUCGUCAGCUCGUGUCGUGAGAUGUUGGGUUAAGUCCGCAACGAGCGCAACCCGCUGUCAUUAGCGGAUUGCUACGAAAGGGCAUUCUAAUGAGACUGCCGGUGACAAACCGGAGGAAGGUGGGGAUGAUGUCAAGUCCUCAUGGCCCUUAUGGUGAACCACACGUCAUACAAUGGUCGGGACAGAGGGUCGCCAACCCGCGAGGGAGAGCCAAUCCCAGAAACCCGAUCGUAGUCCGGAUCGCAGUCUGCAACUCGACUGCGUGAAGUCGGAAUCGCUAGUAAUCGCGGAUUAGCAUGUCGCGGUAGACACGUUCCCGGGUCUUGUACACACCGCCCGUCACACCAUGGGAGUGGGUUUACCAGAAGUAGUUAGCCUAACCGUAAGGAGGGCGAUUACCACGGUAAGUUCAUGACUGGGGUGAAGUCGUAACAAGGUAG